GAUGAACGCUGGCGGCGUGCCUAAUACAUGCCAGUCGAGCGAACGGACGAGAAGCUUGCUUCUCUGAUGUUAGCGGCGGACGGGUGAGUAACACGUGGAUAACCUACCUAUAAGACUGGGAUAACUUCGGGAAACCGGAGCUAAUACCGGAUGAUAUUUUGAACCGCAUGGUUCAAAAGUGAAAGACGGUCUUGCUGUCACUUAUAGAUGGAUCCGCGCUGCAUUAGCUAGUUGGUAAGGUAACGGCUUACCAAGGCAACGAUGCAUAGCCGACCUGAGAGGGUGAUCGGCCACACUGGAACUGAGACACGGUCCAGACUCCUACGGGAGGCAGCAGUAGGGAAUCUUCCGCAAUGGGCGAAAGCCUGACGGAGCAACGCCGCGUGAGUGAUGAAGGUCUUCGGAUCGUAAAACUCUGUUAUUAGGGAAGAACAUAUGUGUAAGUAACUGUGCACAUCUUGACGGUACAUAAUCAGAAAGCCACGGCUAACUACGUG
rnacentral:rRNA from 1 species